UCAGACAGUCUUACAUACACAGACUGACAUGUGCAAUGUGUUGUGAGACAUCUGCCUUUAUGCUCUGAUAAAAGAACCUGAAGGGACAGGACUCAGACUUAUAGAAAAC